CCUACGGGAGGCUGCAGUGAGGAAUAUUGGUCAAUGGACGGAAGUCUGAACCAGCCAUGCCGCGUGCAGGAAGACGGCUCUAUGAGUUGUAAACUGCUUUUGUACAAGGGUAAACCUGAAUACGUGUAUUCAGCUGAAAGUACUGUACGAAUAAGGCUCGGCUAACUCCGUGCCAGCAGCCGCGGUAAUACGGAGGAUCCAAGCGUUAUCCGGCUUUAUUGGGUUUAAAGGGUGCGUAGGCGGAUUGAUAAGUUAGAGGGGAAAUGUUCGAGCUUAACUCGGGAACUGCCUCUAAUACUGUGGAGCUAGAGAGUAGAUGCGGUAGGCGGAAUGUAUGGUGUAGCGGUGAAAUGCUUAGAGAUCAUACAGAACACCGAUUGCGAAGGCAGCUUACCAAUCUAUAUCUGACGUUGAGGCACGAAAGCGUGGGGAGCAAACAGGAUUAGAUACCCGAGUAGUC
rnacentral:rRNA from 1 species